AUUGACGUUAUGCUUUUGACUUAAGAUCAAAAGAGACUGAUUUGAUCUCUCUCUGAUCAUCAGGUGAGACUAAUGUCACUGUAUGCCUACAAAAUAUCACAAAUGUGCACUUAAUAUUGAGAGAUCUGUUGGGACUUUUCUAAAGAGAAAACAAAGAGAGAUUUGAUACAUAUCUGUCUUGAGGGGUGUAUUAUGUUAUUCUGGCAUUAUGAUAAAGGCUUUAAUUACAUGAUCACACUGUUUUUCCACAGUAUUGUUGUCUGAAACAGAGAACAGAAAUGGCAGUGACCAGUUAAUGAGUUAUUCAUUGAUUUUUAUUGUCAGUGCUGGGUUACUUGGUUCAUCUCUUCACAUUUUCUAACCCUGGUGAGAGGACUGAAUUAUUCAUUUUCCUGUGGGCUUGUAUUUGACUGCUGUUCACCAUUAUGAUGUUUCAGUGCUCUGCUAACUUCGCCUUUGUUAUACUGUUGUGAUGUCUCAGUGUUACUGACACUACAUUGAGAGACUGAGGACAAGUCUGCUGUUUUCAGAUGCCCGGUGUGAAACUCUUGUGAUGUCACAGAAAUGCACUUGUUUGAAGCGCAGCUUUCCCACACCCACCAGCUUCUGGAGCAAUUGAAGCAGAGGAACUAUAAUUUUUAUUUUUUUUCUUUUUCUCCUGGUCAAUACCAAUUUAUCCUCCAAGCACUACAGAAUGUAAGUAAUGGACAUCUGGAAAAAUCCCAAGUGAGUAAUUCCAGUUUGCAGGUGUUAGGUUGUGGAUGUUCUGGCUGACACCUGACAGAAGUAAUUUUAGUUGAAAUGGUUGAUAUAUUCAGAUUUCAGGCAAAGUAUGUACUUGUUCUUGAUCUCGAUGUUUGUAGAGUUAUGGUCAAAGAUUCAACACACCCUCAAUUUUAGAAAACAAAACAACUGAAAAAGUCCCAAACACCAAAAGCAUUCUGGCCAUUACAUGUAUGUUUACAUUCUUCUAUAAAUGAGAUUAUCCAGCUCAUUUAAUGUUUGCAUUUCCUGUACCAGGCAUCACCCUGCAUGAAAAACCAACCAGCUAAGGGUUUUCUUCCCAAAGGAGAUUUUCUUUAUUUCAUAUGGCAGACAGUCAGACUGGUCCUACAUGUAAAUCCCUGCUGCUCCUGAUGCUCUUCUGGUCUCUCAUAUGCAUGGAAAUAGGCUCCAAGAGGAUAUGUUCCAAAAAACUUCUAGCACCUGAGGUAUCAGGAGUCCUACAGUGGCAUCAGCCAGGCCUUUCAGCUUUUCUUGAAUGAAUCCUCUCUAGGCCCAUGGAUCUGAAUACCUUUGUGAUGAUCCUGCCUUUCCUCUAAGGGAUGAAGACAAGAAUAUUUAUAGGGUUGGUCUUCUGUACCCAACUAGUGAUAUGUGAAAAACUCAUAAGAUUUUUGAGACCUCUGAGAUGUGCAGCCACCUAGUAAAUUUGGUUGAAACUGGUCAGCAAGAUAAAGAAGAUGCCAGGAUAGAUUGACAGUAUAAACUCUCCUCAGUAAAAUGGAGUAAAAUUGAAAGUUUGUAAUUUCAGCAAUGUUUAUGAUUUCAAGUUAAUGAUGUCUGUCCAAACAUUCUUACCUCAUGUAUUUUAACAACUAUAGCUAUUAAAACCUAUUCUUUAAGGAAUUCACAGCAAAUCAAAUGCAGGACACUAGAGCAGUGAACAAAGGAAAUUACAGAAUCAUCAUAAUGCUUUGUUUCCAGUGCUGAAAUCCCAGCCAUGAUUAUUUUAUUUAAACCAACUUCUCUGAAACAUUUUGCCCAAAAGUUUCAAUCAGUCAUGAAUUCAUCCAACCUGUCAUUGUCUGUUGGAUGUUCUGUUCUGCCCAUCCUGUCAUAAUGGAAAUAACAUGGAAGACCUGAACUUUCCAUCUACCUAGCAGUCCUCACCAAGCAUAUUUUCCUGGUUACACUGCAGAUAUUUUGACAUCCUUCUGGCCAAACAUGUCACAUCAUUUGACAAAAGCACAGCUGACACACGAUGGAGAAUCUGUGUGUCACACUUGCCACAUUGUGGGUUGUUGUUCUGGGAGACAAGGAGCUGGGGAUUUUAGCAGCUCUGGAGAUGCUCAGUGAGCUGGCAGCCUCCCAGCACAGGGCACUGCAGCUGUGGCAGAGGGAACUGAAAUGGGGGUCAGCCAGGACACUGCUAUUCCAGCUGUAGGAAAUUUGACUCAUCUAAGACCACGCCUGUGGCAGAAGGAGCUGAAGGCAGGCAUUGUCCUGCAGGGUGCUGAGGUGAUGGUGUCCUCAAACACAGGGCAAAUCCAGACAUGGCAACACUGUCACUGAGACCUGGAUCAGAUUUUUGAGUCACUGUGAUCUUCAAACAGGGGAAUUCAAGCAAUAGCCAAAUUGGCUAGAAACAAGCCACAGAUUGUCAAAACCUGUGAUGUCUUCCCCAGAUGCAUUAUUCCUUUGAGGUGGCUGAAAAAUGCAGCCUCACCAAGCAAGAAGAGUUUGCAGAUCUGCAGAAGGAAAGGAAGAAAGAAAAGAAGGAAGGAAAGAAAGGAAGGGAGAGAGAAAGAGAGAGAA